GCUGCUGAAGGUGAACCCGGAGGCUUUGCAGGAGAGGCGCAGACAGUCUCCAGGCUUCCUCACAUCCCCUCCCGACUCCAGCAGCUGCACCUGGGACUGGGCACCUGGGGAGAAAAAAGCAUGUUUCAGGAUCCUGUCUCUGCCAGCCUCUGCCAACGGCCACGGAGCCAGGGGGCCACUCACUGCAGAUUUUCCAUUGCCUUUGAAUCAGGCCAUUCAUCUACAGGUACAGCAGGCCGCUGGAGUCAUCCCUGGAGAUGGUGACCCACCCUUUCACCAUGUCGCUGUAGUUGGUGGCAUGGUUGUUGGCAGCUUUGCGUGUCUCUGCCACCCACUGCAGCCCCGUGGCUGGGGAGAGCCAGAACCGCUCCAUCUACUAGGCAAUGAAGUUGAUCCCAGAGGUUUGGCAGGUGAGGGAGGCAGAGAGAUCCUGUGGGCACCUGAACUCCCCCUCCGGACUCCACCACCUGGACCUGCAAAUGGGUACCUGUGGGGAAAGGACAUUCAAAGGACCACGUUCCCUCAGGCCCUGCAUGACAGCUGAUGAAACCACUGGAAACCUAUCCUGUCCUGGGUUUCUCUGGGCACCAGGGUAAGAACCAGCAGUGCUCUCGGCUAUCUCCCAACUCUGCCUGGACAUGGGUAGGGGAAGAGUUACCAUGGAGGGCAUUGAGGAGGCACAGGAUGCUCCCCCAGGGUAGCAUGGUGCUGCUCUGCCAGCGAUUGCUGAUGGGGAGAACCCUGGCAAGCCCCAGGCCUUCAUGGGUCUGUUUUGUAAAACCCUUUAUUCCUCUCACUGCUUUCUGGAGAUCUGACCCUUCUGCCUCUCCUUAUUUGCAGAGCCUUGUUGACUCACUGCAUGAGUUGGCCCUCGAGUUUUUCCGUAGGUCCAACCAGUCCCAAAUACCUAAAUAACAGCUUAGGAAAAUGACAAAUCGUUCUGACUUCAGGUAUUUGUGUUCUGUCGUGGGGAGCUUGUCUUUUCCUAGAUUGCAGGGGCCUUUGGUGACUGACAUUCAGGGGUCUUGGAGCAAAUGAGAAUUCAGGCUGUAGGACAUUCAUUCAUGGAUCAGGCGGGAGGCCCAUUUGGCCCACAGGUCUCUCUCUAUUUGAUGCUGGUUUCUAUCAGAGGUUCAGGGAAUGAUGCCAGGUAGUGGCAGCAUACUCACCAGCCCUAGGAUGUCGUGCCCAAGGGGAAAGGGCCUCCUGCCUUGGAGGUUAAGGCUGCCUUUAUCCCUUACAAUAAAGUAAAUGAAAGUAACUUAAUUUCACUUGUUGUUCACAGUACGUUGGGAAAAAGGCUUUUGUCAGUUCAGCCAACUCAGGCGAUGCUGAGACCUAAGAAUCAAUGUAUAAAAAAUAGAUUGACACCUAAUAAAUGAACUGUAGCACAAAGAA